rnacentral:tRNA from 1 species
GGAUUGUGGCUCAGUGGUAGAGUGCUCUCCUAGCAUGCAUGAGGCACUGAGUUUGAUUCUCAGCACCA